GACGAACGCUGGCGGCGUGCUUAACACAUGCAAGUCGAACGGAAAGGCCUGCUUUCCCUUGUGGAUUGCGGGUACUCGAGUGGCGAACGGGUGAGUAACACGUGAGUGAUCUGCCCCCAACUUGGGUAUAAGCCUGGGAAACUGGUUCUAAUUCCCGAUAGGACUGCAGGGUGGUGCCUGUGGUGGAAAACGAUUUUCUAGUGGUUGGGGAUGAGCUCGCGGCCUAUCAGCUUGUUGGUGGGGUAAUGGCCUACCAAGGCGGCGACGGGUAGCCGGCCUGAGAGGGUGGACGGCCACAUUGGGACUGAGAUACGGCCCAGACUCCUACGGGAGGCAGCAGUGGGGAAUAUUGCACAAUGGGCGGAAGCCUGAUGCAGCGACGCCGCGUGGGGGAUGACGGCCUUCGGGUUGUAAACUCCUUUCGACCGCGAGGAAGCCACCUGGUUGGAAGGGUGGUGACGGUAGUGGUAGAAGAAGCACCGGCUAACUACGUG
rnacentral:rRNA from 1 species